rnacentral:rRNA from 1 species
CCCCUAGAUGUUCUGGGCCGCACGCGCGCUACACUGAACAGUUCAACAAGUCUUAACCUUGGCCGAUAGGUCUGGGUAAUCUUUGAACGCUGUUCGUGAUUGGGAUAGACCUUUGCAAUUAUGGGUCUUCAACGAGGAAUUCCUAGUAAACGCAAGUCAUCAGCUUGCAUUGAUUACGUCCCUGCCCUUUGUACACACCGCCCGUCGCACCUACCGAUUGAAUGGUCCGGUGAAAUCUCGGGACGGCGGCUUGGUCGCUUGCGUCCGACUGCUGAAACUUGAUUAAACCAUNUNAUUUAUNGGAAGGAGAANUCGUANCA